rnacentral:rRNA from 1 species
UGAGACAGGUGCUGCAUGGCUGUCGUCAGCUCGUGUUGUGAAAUGUUGGGUUAAGUCCCGCAACGAGCGCAACCCUUAUCCUUUGUUGCCAGCGAUUCGGUCGGGAACUCAAAGGAGACUGCCGGUGAUAAACCGGAGGAAGGUGGGGAUGACGUCAAGUCAUCAUGGCCCUUACGAGUAGGGCUACACACGUGCUACAAUGGCGCAUACAAAGAGAAGCGACCUCGCGAGAGCAAGCGGACCUCAUAAAGUGCGUCGUAGUCCGGAUCGGAGUCUGCAACUCGACUCCGUGAAGUCGGAAUCGCUAGUAAUCGUGGAUCAGAAUGCCACGGUGAAUACGUUCCCGGGCCUUGUACACACCGCCCGUCACACCAUGGGAGUGGGUGCAAAAGAAGUAGGUAGCUUAACCUCCGGGAGGGCGCUUACC